GGAGGGGUGUCCGAGUGGUUUAAGGAGCUGGUCUUGAAAACCAGUGAUGCUCUCACGGGCACCGUGGGUUCGAAUCCCACCCCCUCCGCCA
rnacentral:tRNA from 1 species